ACUUCUUGUAACCUGCCCAUCAGCGAUGAUCAUGAGAACAUGAUACUGGCCACCACUAUUGUCCACAAUUCCGAUGGCAGUUUCAAUGAUUGGGGCAAAAGAUGUUGGUCCAGCUAAAUGAACAUUUGGAACUAUUUCUCUGUAACGACUCAGUACUUCCUCGAAGCCAUUACAAGGCCUAUCUUCUGGAUGGAAGCUAAAAACUUCUUGAUCAUGAGUAGUGGCAUCGCCAAAACCAUAACAAGGAAUAAGGCUAUCCUCAUCAAAAUCUGAAAGUGUUCUUCCUAUUAUGGAUAUUGCCUGUUCAUAAGGAUUCGGAGAAUUCCCCAGGUGAUGCAGGCUCUUCCUGUGGAAAGACCGCGAGCCAGUCCAUUCAUUGCUUUUUGUGAAAUCAAUG
rnacentral:misc_RNA from 1 species